UUUUAAUAAACAGGUAACAAUAUAUGCUUGCAAAGUUUAUAAAAAUACUGACUCUUAACAUUUUCUUACAAUUAGAAUAUUAACUUCAUUAAUUUCAAACAGUAAGUAAUAAUAAUAGUUGAACUGGUGACGGAUACUGGGGUGAGUUUUACUUAAAUAACCUCAUUUUCUAGAUGGGAAAAUGAAAUCUUUCUAAAAUAACAUUUUAUUGCUGCUGCUGCUGCUCCUGGUGUGUGUGUGUGUGUGUGUGUGUGUGUGUGUGUACCGUGGAUUUGCUUCUCUUCUCCCACCUUUGGAGGUUCUGGGUUCCAGCAUGGGUUCCAGGACUCAGGUCACUGGGCUUGUGUGGCAAAUGCUUUUCCUUGAUGAGCCAUUCCAAUUCUGAAAAUGGAAUAUUUGGUGCAGCUGGUCCAAACCCACCCACUGAUUGGCAGAACUAGAAUGUGGACCUACACUUGUCCCAUAUUGACUCCUGUGUAUAACUUCAAGUUGAUACAACAAAUCAAUGCUCAUCAACCUGGCAGUGCUGUCUGUUGGUGUUGAUAAUCAAAAAUGUGUCCUUGUAGGCUCCCACCUUUUCAUGUCUAUUUGGAAUGUGACAAGGUAAAGUAGAGAGUUCAUGGCACUGAUAACACUAUCUCUCAUGAGAUUUUCAGAGGAAGAAUUAGGUAAGCUCUGCUGUCUGACUGCUGACAGUGAUGCUCAGGCUGAGUCAUGGUCUUGUGUCUCUGCCUCCCUUGCGAAGACUGAACAUUUGACCAUUAGGCAGGCUUUGGACAGGACACAAGGUAAGCUGAGCUCUGCAUGGCCACAUGUGGUGGCUUUUCUUCAUUCAGAACUUGAGCUCUGUGAUACCUGGGAACAAACCUAGACUUAUGGGUAGGACAUGUGGCUCCUCUCCAGGUUCCAUCUUAACUAUACCUAGUGAUGCUCUGUUUUUGAGAUUUUAGGAAAUAUCCCUUACAAAUCUUCAGGGCUGAUAUAAGCUUGAAAGCCACCAGCCUCCUAGGAGGCAUCACAGUACUAUUGGUUAGGCUUGUGAACUUGCAGUGUGACAACUUGGGUUCAAAUCCAGGCGGUGCUGCUAAAGAUAGUGUGUCUCUGGCCAAUAAACCCCUUGAAGCCCCCAUUACAGCUGGGUUUGGUGUAGGCUACCAGCAAAGGAAAUAAUUAGUGCUACAGUAGGAAUCCAUGAAUGGGAGAUGAGAUGGAGGGGUUAGGUCCAAAGGCAGAGGGGGAAAAAUGUAGGCUCACAUGGACAGGUAAGGGAUCUGGCUCCUCAGACAGAUUGGAUGACAUAACCUGUCAUCAUACUAUCCAGCAUCUCCUGAAAGUACAAACCUGGGUAUCCCUUUAGUGGAAAGAGAGCCCCUCUGUUAUUGGAAGUAUGAAAGUUGAGGUCGGGGAGCCUAUCUCUUGUCGAUAUUGAUGCAAAGUCCUCUGUCUAUACAGGGGACUUUGGCUUUCUCCUGCAGAUUCUAGACUUCCUUAUUCUAGUGAAUAAAACAGCUGCAUGUUUCACUGGGGAGCUGUAGGGAUGGCACACCAAGGGCAGCCUGCUCUUGGGGUUUUCUUUCACUGUUAUUCCAGUGCUAUCACAGGGCCCAAAGCUCACACCAGACUGUCCCAGUACUUUGAUACAAACAGAGAAAGCUACCAUAUUUGAAUACAAUAGUUUACACAUUUCACGUGCAUACAUAUAAAUGUAAACAUAACAUAACUCAUAUAAUGAAAGGAUGCUUCAAAUGCAAAAGCAACAAUGAGGUUUUAGCCCACCAGGAAAUAGUUAUAUUAGUAUUAACUCCAUUAUACUAAACUUCCUUUCACAUACUUUUCAGACCUCUUAAGAUGUGUGAUGUGCAUCUGAUUUAAAAAUAAAAUUAAAAUAGGUGUUGUCGUCAGCUCCCCCCAUGCCCGUCCCCUCCCCCCCUACUUGCCUUUCUUCUGCUGCUCUGACACAGCAAGUCUGAAAGUCUGAAGCCUCAGCCAACAAUACCCUGCGACAUUGUGAGCAUGCAUAAGACAAGGGACUUCAGGGAGGCAGCAAGUGCCCUGGCAGAGAAGUGGCCUUUCUCUGUUCCCAGCCUCCUUGUGAGAAGCCUGGUCCACUAAGGUCAACUUCCAACACAGACAUGCUCAUUUCAGUCUGCUCCCCAUGAAAGAGAGAAAAAAGUGAAAGUAAAUGCGGCCCAUUUGACAGGAUGGAGAGGCAUCCGGGCUCUUGAGGGGACACCAUAUCUUGUCUGUCACCCAUGGAAUAGUCACUAGAAAAAGAAACUCAAACUUGAAAAACAGAGAACAAUGUGCUGACACUGUCUGCCUAUCAAAUUGGAAGCUGUAUUAAAGAACUGGAGUGCUGCUGGAGGUGGCAAUAACAUGAAAAAGGACACUCUCACCAACUGCCUGUGGAAUGAACAUAUGAAAUACAACUGUUUUGCAGGGAACCCGGACAUCAGUUUUCCAGUGUACUUAACUGUGGGAGCAAGCCCAACAAAAGAUGUGUGCACAGCAUUUGUAUUAAAAAGUAUGUUUAUAACAGAACUAAGAAUCUAAAUGUAUGCAAUAGAACCCAACCAUGCCAGCACCUUAGUCCUGGACUUUCAGUCCCUAGAACCAGGAGAAAUACUCUUAUAUUGUUUACACACCACUCAGCCUCUGGUAUUUCGUUAGAUCCGUCUGGGCAGAUGACUAAGGUGCUAAUAGACUAUUUAGAAAAAGUGCUAACACAGCAUCUUUGCUUAUGCCAAGGGCUGAGCUCCAGAUGUGGACCCUUGAGAGAACCCAGAGUGACUGGCCUAGCAUAGUUGGGUCCACUGGGAAACUGCUGGGAUCCAGAAAGCAACUCCAAUUUGUGUCUGUGAUAAUUUCAGUUGGCGAAAGUAUUUCCCAGUGCUUUCUUUCCACAGUAACUGGACCUGAUCUUCUGAGAGGUGUAAGCCUAACCAUGUCUAUUUCUCAGUGAAGAGCUCUGGGUAGGGAUCACACUCCUACAGUUGUAUGUGACUACCUCUGGCUAUGGUGCUCGUGGAAGAUCAGAUGACGUGAGUUGCCAGCACUAACAAAUGAUUUCAUGUUCCUCACAAAACACAUGCAAUUGCUUGUCUAGAACAAUUUACCCACUACCUCACAAUACUCCUAGAAUAUAAUGAUCCCUAGGUAAACGCAACACAGGAUCCACAAUGCUAUCCCUAGAGAUGCUCACUUUGUAUCAUCUGCUUUAUAUAGAGAGAAACAAAACACAGUGUGGGUCUUUGAAAUUUGAGUUUUCAGGACAACAGACUGAGAUGGUUAUGAUCUACCAAACAGUCAAAUGCUUUAGUUCAGUUGGGGAAUCCCAAUCGUGCUGUAGGAAUUGAGCAAUAAUGCUGCUUUUUGUGGGUAUCUUUGUUAACAGUCCUCUGAAUCUCCUUUCUGAUAUCAGUGAUGGAGGGAGCAGGGUAGAAGAUGGACCUGGAAAGAACUUCAAUUUUAUUUGGGAAGAUUGGUGGAGAUCUAGGUAGCGGCAUCUUAAAAGCCAAUUAAAAAGUCAAGCAUGUGGGUCACACCUGAAAUCCCAGAACAUGAUAGCUCAGGGGUUGGGAGCACUGGGUGCUUUUCCAGAGAACCUGGGUUUGAUUCCAAACACUCACAUAGUGGCUUGCAGGCACUUGUAGAUCCAAUUCCAGGCGAGCUGGUGCCCUCCUCUGAUCUCCCCGGGCACUGUGUGCAUGCAUACAGCACACAGAAUGGUACAUAGACAAACAUGGAGGUAAAAUACCCAUAAAAUAAUAAAUCUGAAAAAAAAAACCCCUCAGAACAUGUGAGGCUGAGGCAGGGGGAAUCGUGGGUUCCGAGUCUGAGCAACUUGGUAUGACCCUGUCUCAAAAAAAAAAAAAAAAAAUCAAUUGAAAAGAAAACUUUAGGCUUUCCAUUAAUAGGUAGAACACCAAUCUACCCUUCUCCACUCUAUGUCAGUUAAAGAGAAUGAAUUAAUAGUUGUUUAUCUCUGCAGAAACGGUUUUUCAAAUACAAACUGUCGAAAUGAUGCAAGUGUAUGCUAAUUUUUGAAAACUUCAAAAAAUAAAAUAACUUGAAUGAGAGAGAAACCUAAGGGGAGAAGCGAGAAAUGUUACAACCAAGCUUGGAAGCAGUAUUAUAUAAACGUAUUGAUCUGUGUUGUGGGGUUCUUUUCGCUAGUGAACAAUUCUGAAGAGGAUGCAAAAAAGAAUAAAAAGCUAUGGAUCUCAAAGAAUGCAUUUUUUCCUACCAGGUUACUCCAUCCCCACAUUAGAUGUCACAUUUCUUCUUUACUUCUGUUCAAAAUUCUAGAAGGGUCUAGAGUUGCAAAGGUUGAUGGAAAAAUUCCAAUUUCCAAUUUCUCUGAGGUUAUAUGAAGUAUCUGAUACAAUGAAGUAUCCGAUACAAAGCUGCAGCCCCAGAGCUUUUAGCCUCUUACUUUCCAUUCUUCUGGAGGAUUGAAAACACAGACCCAGGGCAAAUGGUUGCUACAUUGAUUCUUUGUGGGAGGGGAACAAGCCUUGCUAUUCAGCCUGCCCUGCCCUCGACCUCCAAAUCUUUCUACCUCAGUCGCCCAAGUACUAGGAUUAUGGGCAUUUGCCACCAUACUGAUUCAUUUUUAGAAUUGAAAACAAAGCAAAGCAAAAUGAAAAACUAUGGUAACACAGUUAAGUUGGCAAAGAUUCAAGAAAAAUGUUUCAAAUAUAAAUAAAAUCUACACGUAAGACCUAUAUUUCGGAAACUAAGGACUCUGCUUCCCAGGCACAUCACUAAAAAGGGAGAUUAUUUCCUGGCAACUUUUCCUAACAGGUGGUUGAAAUUAAACUUUGAAAUUUUCAGCCCAAUUAGUAAACCUUAAGUUAUCAAAAUACAAAGUAAUUAUGACUCAAAAAUCAAUUUGUAGUAUUAGAAAAGUCAAAAUUCCCAAAGAAAAUUCUUUAAAUCAUACGCUUUAGACAGCAUUAUACAGUUUUACAGACAAUUGGUUGUGGUUGUGUCUUAGUUUCUUUAUGAAUGUACACAUCAGAAGGCCACAACGAAAUUCCCUCUAUUGCUCAAGUGACCAUGUCAGACUCCCGUUUCCUUUCUCAUGUGUCACUGAACAGGCUAAGAGCAAGUCAGCAUGUCUCAAGAAAGAAAUGAAGUGGUUGUUUCUUUGUUGGCAUCGUGUCAGCAAUUAAGAGGAGGAAAGGGAAGCAGCAGGCUGGAUAUGUUGUAAUCGGGGAUAAAAGGAGAAGUCACAGACAGAAGGUUGCUUCUCAAAGAGAAGACCACCAGGGCCUUGGUGUACUGAUUCACUAACGUGUGCUGCUGUUGUUUUAAGUAAAAGCAGAACAACUUCAUUUCUAAGAUUUCGUUCGAAUUAUUUGCUGGCAGAAUCUCCGUAGUUAGCAUUCAAUUCCUCUGUAUUCCCUGAGCCUAGAUGGCUACCCAACAGAUGGUGGAUGGAUACCCACCUCCCCAACAGAUGGCUUCAAGGUAGAAAGUCUUGUCGCAGGUCUCACUCUCAAGGGCCAGAGGCGGGAAUUUCAUCAGGAAUCUCCCUGCCAUUCCUGCAGUUAUCUGUGGAGUGGGAGGUUGUUAGUGGGAGGCUGAGAGCCAAGCAGAGGGCUCUGUACCAGUUCGUCCCAUCCUGACACAGCUGGCGCUGCCAUUGGCAAAGAAAACUAUGGCACAGAGCAUAAGAAAGCUCAGAGCAAUAGACGAUUACUCAUCAAAGCUGCUAGUGGAAUUGCAUGGCAGUGGGACCAGACUGCCCAGGAUUUUUUCCCCCCUUAAUCUUUAAAUUGCUCUUUUGGAAAGCAACAAUCCACAUUCUAGUUAGGAAUUAAUCCCUGCCCUGCUUGAUUGGCCAACUCAUCAGGCUGUGGACUGAUGCCAACAGCUCACUGUUGUGGGGCCCCAGGUUAUUUUGAUCUGCUCCAUGGCCACGGACGGCAUCCUGAACUGCAGCUGGACACCUUCUUCUUCUUCUUCUUCUUC
rnacentral:lncRNA from 1 species